rnacentral:rRNA from 1 species
GCAAGUCGAACGGUAACAGGAUAGCUUGCUAUUGCUGACGAGUGGCGGAGGGGUGAGUAAUGCUUAUGAAUUUGCCUUUUGUUGGGGGAGAACUAUUGGAAACGAUAGCUAAUACCGCAUAAUACCUACGGGUCAAAGUGGGCGUUUAGCUCACGCCGAAAGAGAAGUCUAAGUGAGAUUAGCUAGUAGGUGAGGUAAAGGCUCACCAAGGCGACGAUCUCUAGCUGUUCUGAGAGGAAGAUC